rnacentral:rRNA from 1 species
GACGAACGCUGGCGGCGUGCUUAACACAUGCAAGUCGAACGGAAAGGCCCUGCUUUUGUGGGGUGCUCGAGUGGCGAACGGGUGAGUAACACGUGAGUAACCUGCCCUUGACUUUGGGAUAACUUCAGGAAACUGGGGCUAAUACCGGAUAGGAGCUCCUGCUGCAUGGUGGGGGUUGGAAAGUUUCGGCGGUUGGGGAUGGACUCGCGGCUUAUCAGCUUGUUGGUGGGGUAGUUGCUUACCAAGGCUUUGACGGGUAGCCGGCCUGAGAGGGGUACCGGCCACAUUGGGACUAAGAUACGGCCCAGACGCCUACGGGAGGCAGCAGUGGGGAAUAUUGCACAAUGGGCGGAAGUCUGAGGCAGCAACGCCGCGUGCGGGAUGACGGCUUUCGGGUUGUAAACCGCUUUCGCCUGUGACGAAGCGUGAGUGACGGUAAUGGGUAAAGAAGCACCGGCUAACUACGUG